UCCGAACAAAUCAAGGUUCUAUCAGCGAUAAAUAAGGGAGGCUCUAAAAUAUUGAAGAACCAUCUAAUGUUAUUUAUACUACCUACUUUCUAAUCUGCCUCAUCUGCUCACCUUCCUCGUUCUCUUCCUGUGAUCUUAGACAGUGCAUGGAAGAAAUUUUUUUUGAUGAAGACAUUUGUCUAUUUUACUUAAAAUCAUUUUUUUAGCUAGUGGUAUGUCUCGAACACUUUCCUAAUAGUUCAUUGAGAUAAAGUCAUAACUUUUUUUUUCUUUCUUUGCUAUUCUCACUCAUUGCCCCAUUGGGAUUGACUGCAAAUUGCCAUUUUCUAUAGAAAGAAUCAGGAAUCCUUUCUACACAGUGGCCUUGGUGAUUUCAGAGCUUCAAGAACAUUUAAAAUACUCAAGUUCUUUCUCCAAAAACUGGGGACUUCCUGCUGCUGAGCUCCUGAAAGUUUUUGAGAAGAAAGUCGAAAGGCUGAAAAUGGUGCUGUGUUUAUUUGAAUAUCUAAAGGGUAAACUCCAAGCUACUUAUCUGAAAACAAAUAUUCUCUGAAACCUGUAGAGUAAAGAAGUAUAACUUGACAUUUCUUCUGCAAGAAAAAAAACAAGAAGAUGGUGACUUUCAAGACCUCAGUCAAUGACUAAAGCUCUGUGAUCACAGUGAGAACCCACCAGAGAAAGCUAAAAUGGUCCCCAAACCAAUCACAGAAGAUGUCUCACUCUUGGCUAGCCUACCUCCAUUGACUCCAAUGCCAUCAUGACAAUGACCUCAAUUGGAAGAUGCCUAACACCUUUCCUUUUCUCCACUCUAAAGCUUUCCCACUGCUUUGUCUGCCUUUCAGCCUCUGCCAAAUUGAAGUGGUGGCACUGAUGCCCUUGCUGUAGCAAGCUCUGAAUACAUGGCUUAUGUUUGUUUUCA